rnacentral:rRNA from 1 species
AGUGAACGCUGGCGGCAGGCCUAAUACAUGCAAGUCGAACGGAAACACAGUAAGAUUGUGCCUUUACGGGUGGCGACUGGCGGGUGGGUGACAAGUAGAUAGGCAACUUCUUAUUCGGGGGGGACUACGUGGGGAAACAUAUGCUAAUACCGCAUACGACGUACGGGAGAGAGCAAUGGUUCUUGGCGGUUUGCGCGUCUGAAUGAGCUGAUGUCGGAUUAGCUAGUUGGCGGGGUAAGGGCCUACCAAGGCGACGAUCCGUAGCUGGUCUGAGAGGAUGAUCGGCCACACUGGAACUGAGACACGGUCCAGACUCCUACGGGAGGCAGCAGUAGGGAAUAUUCGGCAAUGGGCGCAAGCCUGAUGCAGCCAUGCCGCGUGAGUGAUGAAGUCCUUCGGGUCGUAAAGCUCUGUUGUUGGGGAAGAAAAACUGCAGAUGAAACCACGCCUGUCCUGACGGUACCCAAAGAGUAAGCACCGGCUAACUUCGUG